GACAGAGGGUGCAAACGUUGUUCGGCAUUACUGGGCGUAAAGCGCGUGUAGGUGGCAAGGCAAGUCGGGUGUGAAAGCCCUGGGCUCAACCCAGGAAGUGCACUCGAUACUGCCUCGCUAGAGUCCCGGAGAGGUUGGUGGAACUCUCGGUGUAGAGGUGAAAUUCGUAGAUAUCGAGAAGAACACCGGUGGCGAAGGCGGCCAACUGGACGGUGACUGACACUGAGACGCGAAAGCGUGGGGAGCAAACAGG
rnacentral:rRNA from 1 species